rnacentral:rRNA from 1 species
GAUUCGCCCUUGUGCCAGCAGCCGCGGUAAUUCCAGCUCUAAUAGCGUAUAUUAAAGUUGUUGCAGUUAAAAAGCUCGUGGUUGUAUUUUGACCUCGGACAGGCGAUCGGCUUCUGUCGUAUUGCCCUUCCUUGGUCUUCCUUCUGUGGACUGUCUAUUAAGUUAGGCGUGGACGCAGAUCGUUUACUGUGAGUAAAUUAGAGUGUUCAAAGCAGGCAAUACGCUUGAAUACAUUAGCAUGGAAUAAUAGAAUAGGACGUCGGGUCUAUUUUGUUGGUUUAGGAACCGUCGUAAUGAUUAAUAGGGACAGUUGGGGCCGUUUAUAUUCCGUAGUCAGAGGUGAAAUUCUUGGAUUUACGGAAGAUAAACUACUGCGAAAGCAUUCGGCAAGGAUGUUUUCGUUAAUCAAGAACGAAAGUUAGGGGAUCGAAGACGAUCAGAUACCGUCGUAGUCUUAACCAUAAACUAUGCCGACUCGGGAUCAGCAAGAGUCGUUUACGACCUUGCUGGCACCGUGUGAGAAAUCAAAGUCUUUGGGUUCCGGGGGGAGUAUGGUCGCAAGGCUGAAACUUAAAGGAAUUGACGGAAGGGCACCACCAGGAGUGGAGCCUGCGGCUUAAUUUGACUCAACACGGGGAAACUCACCAGGUCCAGACAUAGCGAGGAUUGACAGAUUGACAGCUCUUUCUUGAUUCUAUGGGUGGUGGUGCAUGGCCGUUCUUAGUUGGUGGAGUGAUUUGUCUGGUUAAUUCCGAUAACGAACGAGACCUCAGCCUGCUAAAUAGUAACGCUUGCUUCGGCAGGUGGAUUACUUCUUAGAGGGACUUUUCGAGUCAUCGAAAGGAAGUUUGAGGCAAUAACAGGUCUGUGAUGCCCAAGG